AUAAAUGAUAAAAAAUACAAAUGUCAAAACCACUAAACAAAAUUACUAAAAAUAAAGGGCAAUUCAAAAUAUUAAUAAAAUACUAUAAUAAUACCAGAUGCACAUAUGACAUGCUUAAGUCAAAAGUUCAGGUGUUUACAGAUCGGAUUAUUAAGCAUUAUUAAUACAUUACUAGUAUUAAGACUCAAUAUUUCUAUCUGCUGAUGUGUGACCUAUAUAUGCAUUUCUCAAAAACUGUGCAACCUCAAAAUCGAAAUGAUAUGUGGUUCCUGGUAAGCGGUAUGUGCCUGUCUGGACAGCAUUUCCCACUCUGCGUUUAACCGGUUGAAUUCAGGGGAACUCACAUGAGGUCAGUGUGUGUGUGUGUGUGUUAUCAGAUCACUGAUGCUAAGAACUGCAGCGGGGGCUGUCAGGACUGAGUCUGACAGCAGGUCAACUAGCUAAUCAAACGUCUCUUUUCCUGAGAGAAAGCUGCUUAUCAGUUUCCUUUGACAUCUACGUUCUGUGAAUCAGACCCGAUCUCAUUCUUAAGCACAAUCCACAAAGUUGAAUCACUCCAGUAUACACUCUCCGAAAAAAAGAUAAGACUACAAAAGCUGGCUUAUUUACCUCUAAAUGGUACAUUUUAGUAGAAUUUGAUUUUUAGCGCAUGUGCACAGUCAAACGCACAGCCUUUCAAUGUUUCAUAUCUUGCAUUAAAGGAGUGCUCAAAACACAUGCGCACUGCAAAAAUGUAUAUUUUUUUCAGUGUCUGCGUUUUUUCCCACAUUGGUAAUAAACUAUAGAAACGUCUUUAUACUCAAGAGGUGUGUAUAUCAGAGUAAAUCUAGCUGUAUAUAUGGAAGGCCGAAAGGGCCAAAAUACUUUAAAUGGAAUGCGUGAUAUUUUAUUGCAUCAAUACGCACUGUUCAUUCUCGUUAACAUGCCUUCAAAUUUACGGUUGUACUGUUUUACAAAAGUAUACAUAGUUAUAUAUUAGUACCUAAAGCAGUGCUCAGCAACUUUGGUCCUGCAGAGUUUAGUUCCACCCCUAAACAAACACAUCUGCCCGUAUGCUCUUAAAAAUAAAGUGGCUUAAAACCAUUUUUGAACCAUUCGAUCAAAGGUUUUUUUAAGAACCAUCUCUUUCUUACCUUUGUAUGAUAUGAAAAUCUUAUUUUGUCAAACAGAAAGGUUUCAAUACUCUAUAUAAGUCUUCUAAAGCCAAUAACCGAAGUCUUCAUUCAAUGAUUAUCUCUUCUCAGCCGCAGCUUUCAAAUGUCAUGUUUUCAUACACUCAUUUUCAAACCGGGUUUGAUAUCUUGCAGGUCUCAUAACGGAACGUGACAUGCAAAAUUUUCAUUUGCCGACACAUGAAUGAAAAUAUCUUGUUUUGUGUUCCAGACAGUCACGCAGGUUUGCUAUGACAUGAAAAUUAGCAAAGAACUUUAAUUGUUAAUUGAACUAUCCAAAUAAAUAAAAUAAAGUCAGUUUAUUGGCGUUGUUGGUUCCAUGAAGAAACUUUAACAUCCAUGGAACUUGUCAAACGCACAAAAUGUUCUAUAAAGUCAAAAAAAGUUCUUCAGAUGACUAAAAUGUUCUUCACACUGACAAAUAAAGGCAUCUUUUAAGAUAUGCUCAUAUAAAUUGGAAUCAAAAAUGUGUUUGCUGUGAAAUCCCCCUUUUGAACUUUUAUUUUUAGGAUCUUUCUUUGUAGCUGAUGUAAAGAAGGGCAUAACUGCAGUGGAUCUGUUCUGUUGAGUUUCUGGAACAGCAUGUGCAGCGAUCAGAGGAGUGAAAGGACGUGAGUAAUACCAAAGGGAAACACCCAUAUAACAAAGAUGCUGAAGGAAAGUGAUAGAGAGUUUUGGCUUUGACUAAAAGCCAAAUGCGAUCCAAACGGUUUGACGACUGUUAGACAGGCGUGUGCUCGAAUGUACAGACUGCAGGAACUGAAUGCACGCAUGCAAAGCAUUGCAUUUCUGUAAGAACCAGUCAUGCAGAUUUGAGGGCCGUUGUUGUUGUUUUCUUGAUAAAUUACAGAGAAUUUACGAGGUGCACGGCCGCUCGAUUCAGCUGAGCGCUUCACCCACGCAAUGUAAUUAAUGCCAGAAUCUGAAGCAAACAAGACCAGAGCCACAACAAGUGUGAAGCACGACAGAAGCCGUGACGCAUCACCACAUGUUUGCAGCACUAAAUAAUUCAGGUUUGUGGUUAACGAGAAGAUGACCGGGUGUCAGGUGCGUCGUGGAUGAUGUUUCUGGAUGAAGUUCUCACCAGGUGCAGACUGUCGGCUUUCUGCGUUUGUCUCAUUCGGCUCUUCUGCGCCGCGAUGCGGUUCUUCUCUCUCCUCAUCACCUUCCUUACGUCAUCCGUCGAACCCUGAAAACCAGCACACACCAGUUUAUGUAACACUUUCGGGAGGGUCUCUGACCAGGAUGUAGAAGCUGAAGGUCAAGUUCCUCCAGAGCAUCUCCAUGUAUCCCAAUCAUACAAAAUAAAACCAAUAGUGUUUUUAUUUUUUAGAUUUUCA